CAACCAAAUUACACAUAUGGAUGGACCCACAGCUCCAUUUCCAUAUGCAGCAGUAGAUUGCCUUAUCUGACAUUUAGUCCUUUUGUGGCUCUAUGAUCUAGCAUAUGGGAAUGCUAGAGCUCUCAUGUAGGAGAGGGUGGAGAAAAGGUAUAUAGAUUUUGUAGAAGGGAAAUUGAGAAGUGGGAUAAAAUAUAAAUAAAAUAUGUCCACUGAAACAAUAUUUUCUCUGAACUGCUUUCACACUUCAAUAAUUCUCAUCAAACAGAAAAUACACCAUUCAACAGACAAAAACUUUAGGGAAUUAUUAUGUCUAUGAUAUAUACAAAAACAGGUAAACAGAAAAAAUAUAGCAUUACAUUUUUGCUAUCUGAUAUUUACAUGCACAUAAGAACAUAAAAUUAUUUUAUUACACUAUGCUUGAUGAAAUCAUUGCCUUCAUAAGUGAAGUGAAUCACCAAAAUGCCACAAUUUCUAAGACUAAUAAUUACCCAUGUAUGCUUCAUGUAAUCUGUUGUUGCCUUCCUACUCAAAGGAUUUGCUGAAACUUAGCUUUAUUAAAUGUGUCCUAUAUAUACACUAAACAUUUAAUUUUGUCAGUAUUAUUGUUCCCGCAAGGAAACAAAGCCAGAUCUCUGAGACCUAUGAGGAAUUUGCUUAUACAGUGGGAGACAAUUUUGAGAUAGUCCUCUCCUAUGUGGAGGUCAUAAUGCAUUCACAGGUCUUUGAGAUACUGUCUCAUAUUUCUUUUGUAAAUAUUUUGUUCUUUGUCUCAUUGUUGUCUAUUUUACUUUCCCAAUGGUUUUACAAUCAAUGGAAGGACUAAAAGAGGAAGAGCACAGGUUCCGAAUGUUGGUAAUCUAAGAAGCAGAAUAUCUCACCAAAGCAGGAGACUAUUAACUAUGACUUAGAAACAAAAGAACCAUGUAUCCAGCAAAAUGACAGAGUUAUGGAUUAGUAGAUUAGAUACAAGCAGCUGACAAAAGAUACUGACAUGGUCCCCUGUCAAUUCUACUAUAGCUGAGUCUCUGAGAAUAAUUAAUCCCACUCUUGUCUUCUUUGAAAUUUUGUUUAAAAGACAUAUUAGAAAACUGUCUAUAAUAUGCAUGCCAGUGGUGAGACUUAGCUGGAAAUUGGAGAUAUUGUGAAAAGUAGACGUAUGCUAUCCUUGCUAUAAUGGAAACUUGGUAUUAUAGACAUUUAUGAAUUCCCUGCUACAGUUGAAACUCAGUUUGGUAAGGUUAAAUGGGUGGAAGUGUGUGUGUGUGUGUGUGUGUGUGUGUGUGUGUGUGUUCAUCUCGGUGUGUAGAUGUGAGAAGGGAAAUGUGUGAGAUAUAGCAGAGAAGAGGGUGGAAAGGAGAGCAGGUAGAAAGGAAUGACACUAAAAAUUGAAUGUAUUGGGAGGGAAGGUUUGUUUGGUAUUAUCAACUUCAUGAAUAUGGGUGAAUGUAGUAGAUGGUUCCUAAAUUAAUGAAUAGCUUUUAUAUGAUCAUCUUCUGGUGAACAUUGGUUUGAUCAUAGAUAUGGGAGAGCCAGCAGUGUGUAAGUUGAUCCUCUUGAGGAUAUCAUUAUAGGUUUUAUACUAAAGUAAUCUAUAGGAGAGAUACUUCUCUACUUCAGUUCCUGAACCCUGGUGCAUGUCUUGAAUUGAAAGUUUGCUUCUCAUGCAUGAUAAAUUUGAAACUUUAGUUUAUACUUCUCAAUUUGCUGUUGCUUAGAAUUUUAUGGAACAUUAAUAAAGCCAUCGAGGACACAGAGAUAGUUUAUCUACUGGCUGCAUAGUAGAGCUUUCUUUAGGGUGCUUACCCCUUGUAUUAAACAUGGGUUUUAAGGAAUAAUAUAUUCUAGGAGUUUACAUUGUAACAAAGAAGCUGAUUUAUAUAAAUUUAUUCAUGGCAUGUCUUGUUAAGGGAAACGACUCAAAUCUUAUAUUUCAUACAUUUUGAGGUGCUUAUCACAAAGCAAAUGUUGAAAACCUGAACAGCUGAGUGGACAUCUUCAAGGAAGUUGCAGGAGCCAGAGGUCUGGAAAUAGUAGGGGAUUACUGUACUGUUCUACUUGUGUCACUAUUAACCUGAUAUUGCAAUAGAUACCCACACAAUGCCAGAUUGCAAAAGUUCACAAUUUUAAUCAUAAUUUUAUAGUGAUACCAUGAUAAUUUUAUUUAGUAUACACACCACUGGAUAGGAGUAAAUCAAAUUUCUUGAUUUAAUGAUAUAUCUAUUGACAAGAAUAUAGCUGACAUUUUGUAAUUUUUUAUGGGAAAUUAUACAUGCCAUAGAAUAAUAUUGUGUUCCACUAAUGACUCUUUAUUGUUUCAUCAAUGGUGAUGGUCUGUUACCUAGACAGGAAAUUCUAGACAGUAACUAUGUUUAAAUGCUCCAGUAAAUAUUUGCAUAAAAUCUUUCUAUCAGAACCUUUUACUUUCCAUAUCACAAGACGCAGAGGGUCUGUCAUAGCAAAUGUAUUAGAGAGCAGUAACUUUGCUAAAGUUGCAUUAGCUAGUCACAUAAUUUAUAGGCCUAUAUAUUUUAAUUUUUCAAAAUUUAUGAAAAUAGUAAAUCAUUAAGUAGCCACAGAGAAUUAGAUGAGUUAGCUGUCUUAACAAUGGUUAAGGAGGUAUAAGUCUGCAGUUCUGAGGUGAUUUCUCCCAUAUUGCUGUAGGCUUUAGAUAAUCUAGCUGCCAUUGUGUCAUACACACUUACCCAUGGUUCAAUAAAUAACCACAUUAACUAUUGUUUCACUAGCAUCGACAUUAUGUACCCUUUUACUUUCUGAUCUGACAUUACAUCCUAUAUAGGCCAGACAGACUCUUCCUUGUGAAUCUUCCAGAAAAGACAAACAGCUUGAAUGUAUUCCCAGGCAUAGUUUAAAAAUUGUUCUUAACAGUAGUCUAUGAGUAUUUAAAUUAUAUUAAGUUAAAAUUUUAUUCAAAUUUCUUCAGCUGUCACUGAAUGUCUCUGCAUUGAACACGGAGGUCUUCAUCUCAAACUCUCAUACGAACCUUCUGUUUUUGGCUAUACUAAGUUGUAAAUACAAGAUAUCACCUAGCUUGACAGAUAAUUAAUUUAGCAUAUUUUCAUUUUAAGUUAAUAUUUGUGAAACCUCUUGUGUAGAAAUACAUCUGAAUAUAUCCUUUGAUAAUAUGCAUCAAAGCAGUAUCAAUAAUGCCUUAUAUUGUAAAAAUAGGUUUGUGAGUUUCUUAGAAUUUUUAUAUUUAUGAGGCUGUAUCAUUUUCACAAAGGUGUACUACGAUAUAUGUAUCAUUAAUUAAGGUCUACAAUAAGAAAAGGAUUUCUUUUAUUAUUACCUCAGCUAGUACACCUGACAGUAGACUUAGAACACAUAUUAAAUAGAAAUGUGAAAGGAAUUCACAACAAUUUUUUCCUUCACUCUUGAAACUGACCCUUUGCAGAUAAAAUGAUGUGUGAGAAUUUUUGUUAUGAGGAUUAACAUAUUCACUUGUCUACAUAUUUUUCUCAGUGCUUUAUUUUAAAUCAAUUUUGAAUCUGAGAAUAUUUUCUGUUUUCUUUAAAAUAACCAAUUAAUAAAAUUUAUUUGUAUAAUGAAACUUUUUUAAAAAACACUGGGUGCAUACUUGUGGCUUUCUCCUUUCAAAAGUAGUUUGGGUUGAAUCUAUGCAAAUCUUAUAUGUGCUGCCUCAGUCUCUGUGAUUGCCUACAUGUACCUCUAGCAUUGUAUAAAGAAAACAUUGGUUCCUUGGAGUUAUCCACCACCUCAGAACCUUUGCAAUCUUUCUUCCUCUAUUCCUACACAAAUCCAUGACACUUGAAGCACGACAUUUGCCAAAGGGAUUCCAGUAAGGAUUUCGUACUCCAAGGUCUCUCUUUCAGUACACAUACCCCACUGAAUAUCCUUCUAUUAUUUCACAUGUAGUGCAAGAAGCAUCUUUGAUAUGGUUUAAGGAAGGAUAUAUGGGUGUAGUGUUUUGCCAUCAAGAGUCAUUUUAUUUUCAUGUUGCCUUUACAUAAUGAUAGAAGUGUGUUUGUAGCCUGUGACCUAUCUAAUCUAUGGUUCUUAAUUACUUUUGUAGUGUCCAGUAGAGCUUUCCUUCCAUGGAGGAAAGCAUAUAUCCAAUAAAUGUAGGUGUUACAGCCUAUCUUUUUUGUGCCAGUUUGUAGCUUUUGAUCUUGUUAUUUUCCCUACUUAAGUAACAUGGAGCAUAUCUUCAUGUGCAGUCUAUAAUGGGAAAACUUCUGUUUGGACAACAGACUGUUUUUUUCCCAUUCAAUAAUAUGAAUAUAUACUUUCUUCAGUAAUUUUAGCUUAACAUCAGGUAAUUCAGAUUUAAUGAUAGAAUUGUGUAUGGUCUGUGGUGUUUCAGUCAGGUAAUAGAGUUCCACAUUAGCAAAUUACUCAACAAAGCAACCUAUUCCUGUCAGGAAACUUUAUGUAUGAAGAGAUCAUUUAUCUCUCAAUAUAUCUACACCUGUAUUCUUUUGUUAACCUUAAAUACAAUAUUUCAGACUCUAGAGCAUUGGUACAGAAAGUUCUGUUUCCAAAAUUACUCUAGUGGCCAAGCAACCACUGAGAUCCUUUGUAUUCUAUAAUUGAAUUUCUCAGUUACAUAUUAUAGCAGGCUGUCUCUUUUCUAUCCUUUAGGUCCUGUGUCCUUAGUAAAUUAAAAAAAUCAGUUUUAAAUUAUAUAUUUAGUUUCAAUGAUGAUCUAUUUUCUGUUAAAGACAUUUUUAAGUAUGAGUUUAAUUACACAAUUUCCUACAAUAGUCAUUACAAGCACACACACACACGCACACCCACACACACACAGACACACCGACACACACACAGACACACACACACAGAGACACAGACACACACAGACAUACACAGCCACACAGACACAGACACAGACACACACACACAAACACACACACACAGAUAUAUUGUGUAUAAUAAUUCCUAAAUGCAAAAACAAAAUUUGUAUGUCAUGUGAAUUAGGAAG
ensembl:lncRNA